UACGUAGGGCGCAAGCGUUGUCCGGAAUUACUGGGCGUAAAGCGCGCGUAGGCGGUGAUCUUUGUCAGAGGUGAAAGCCCGGGGCUCAACUCCGGAAUUGCCUUUGAAACGGGAUUGCUAGAGUCCGAGAGAGGAUGGCGGAAUUCCUAGUGUAGAGGUGAAAUUCGUAGAUAUUAGGAAGAACACCGGUGGCGAAGGCGGCCAUCUGGCUCGGUACUGACGCUCAGGCGCGAAAGCGUGGGGAGCAAACGGG
rnacentral:rRNA from 1 species